GCUUUAAAUUUUCUAUUUUAAAACCAAAUUUACUUUUUUACCUUUGUUUAUACUAGGUAGAGUCAGUAAAUAAGCUCUAAUUUUAAUAAAUAAAAAUAAAAUUUUCAACUCGCAAUCCUCAGGAUUUAUAGGAGAAAAUUAAAUAAAUAAGACCUAAUUUUAUUAAGAACAGUAAAAAAUAGAAUAAAUUAAAG
rnacentral:rRNA from 1 species